rnacentral:rRNA from 1 species
UACAGAGGGGGCAAGCGUUGUUCGGAAUUACUGGGCGUAAAGGGCGCGUAGGCGGCCUUCUAAGUCGAACGUGAAAUCCCUGGGCUUAACCCAGGAACUGCGUCCGAGACUGGAAGGCUCGAAUCCGGGAGAGGGAUGUGGAAUUCCAGGUGUAGCGGUGAAAUGCGUAGAUAUCUGGAGGAACAUCGGUGGCGAAGGCGGCAUCCUGGACCGGUAUUGACGCUGAGGCGCGAAAGCCAGGGGAGCAAACGGG